UCUCGAUACAACUCAAACCAAACACACCUCUCGGCUCACUCCCUCUCCCCUGCUUAUUAACCCACUUUACCACACAAACACCCAGUUAUGUUCCCUCUCUCUCUCUCGAUGUCGAGCCGGCCACCACAAUCCAUCUCCGGCCGCUGUGUUGAACCGACAACACCCCCACCGUGGCAGUGUGAAGGUUGGACGACGACACCCCCCUCUGGCGACUCAGAUUUGCAAAGAAUGACGACUGGAGUGCGAAGAUUUCGCAUCAGAAACUCACACACGAAGCUCCGGUACGGUUUUCCGACAACCGGCAGAAAGAGAUAGCGGCAGCGUGGUGGCGGUCGGUGUCGAGGGUCCGACGGGUUCUCUGUCCGAUGAUGAUUGAUAAUGAAUAGAUGAUGUGAUGAUCAGAUGAUGAAGAGACGAGGCAGUGUGGUGACAACCACCAUUUCCGGCAACGAACGCCGCACAGUUCCGUUUGCUCAAGAUCGGCUCAAGUAUUCAUAUCGGGUUUCUCAGCUUCGGGUGUUGUUUUGAGUUAUUUUAAGCAAGGUUGGGGUUUUGUUCGGGUCAGA